rnacentral:rRNA from 1 species
UACGUAGGGUGCAGGCGUUAAUCGGAAUUACUGGGCGUAAAGCGUGCGCAGGCGGUUUGCUAAGACAGGUGUGAAAUCCCCGGGCUUAACCUGGGAACUGCGCUUGUAACUGGCAAGCUAGAGUGUGGCAGAGGGGGGUGGAAUUCCACGUGUAGCAGUGAAAUGCGUAGAGAUGUGGAGGAACACCGAUGGCGAAGGCAGCCCCCUGGGCUAACACUGACGCUCAUGCACGAAAGCGUGGGGAACAAACAGG